GCCUUGGUGGUGUAGUGGUCUAGCAUGCGGCCCUGUCACGGCCGCGACUCGGGUUCGAAUCCCGACCAGGGCG
rnacentral:tRNA from 1 species